UUAAGCGACUAAGCGUACACGGUGGAUGCCCUGGCAGUCAGAGGCGAUGAAGGACGUGCUAAUCUGCGAUAAGCGUCGGUAAGGUGAUAUGAACCGUUAUAACCGGCGAUUUCCGAAUGGGGAAACCCAGUGUGUUUCGACACACUAUCAUUAACUGAAUCCAUAGGUUAAUGAGGCGAACCGGGGGAACUGAAACAUCUAAGUACCCCGAGGAAAAGAAAUCAACCGAGAUUCCCCCAGUAGCGGCGAGCGAACGGGGAGGAGCCCAGAGCCUGAAUCAGUGUGUGUGUUAGUGGAAGCGUCUGGAAAGGCGUGCGAUACAGGGUGACAGCCCCGUACACAAAAAUGCACAUACUGUGAGCUCGAUGAGUAGGGCGGGACACGUGGUAUCCUGUCUGAAUAUGGGGGGACCAUCCUCCAAGGCUAAAUACUCCUGACUGACCGAUAGUGAACCAGUACCGUGAGGGAAAGGCGAAAAGAACCCCGGCGAGGGGAGUGAAAAAGAACCUGAAACCGUGUACGUACAAGCAGUGGGAGCCUCUUUAUGGGGUGACUGCGUACCUUUUGUAUAAUGGGUCAGCGACUUAUAUUCUGUAGCAAGGUUAACCGAAUAGGGGAGCCGAAGGGAAACCGAGUCUUAACUGGGCGUUAAGUUGCAGGGUAUAGACCCGAAACCCGGUGAUCUAGCCAUGGGCAGGUUGAAGGUUGGGUAACACUAACUGGAGGACCGAACCGACUAAUGUUGAAAAAUUAGCGGAUGACUUGUGGCUGGGGGUGAAAGGCCAAUCAAACCGGGAGAUAGCUGGUUCUCCCCGAAAGCUAUUUAGGUAGCGCCUCGUGAAUUCAUCUCCGGGGGUAGAGCACUGUUUCGGCAAGGGGGUCAUCCCGACUUACCAACCCGAUGCAAACUGCGAAUACCGGAGAAUGUUAUCACGGGAGACACACGGCGGGUGCUAACGUCCGUCGUGAAGAGGGAAACAACCCAGACCGCCAGCUAAGGUCCCAAAGUCAUGGUUAAGUGGGAAACGAUGUGGGAAGGCCCAGACAGCCAGGAUGUUGGCUUAGAAGCAGCCAUCAUUUAAAGAAAGCGUAAUAGCUCACUGGUCGAGUCGGCCUGCGCGGAAGAUGUAACGGGGCUAAACCAUGCACCGAAGCUGCGGCAGCGACACUAUGUGUUGUUGGGUAGGGGAGCGUUCUGUAAGCCUGCGAAGGUGUACUGUGAGGUAUGCUGGAGGUAUCAGAAGUGCGAAUGCUGACAUAAGUAACGAUAAAGCGGGUGAAAAGCCCGCUCGCCGGAAGACCAAGGGUUCCUGUCCAACGUUAAUCGGGGCAGGGUGAGUCGACCCCUAAGGCGAGGCCGAAAGGCGUAGUCGAUGGGAAACAGGUUAAUAUUCCUGUACUUGGUGUUACUGCGAAGGGGGGACGGAGAAGGCUAUGUUGGCCGGGCGACGGUUGUCCCGGUUUAAGCGUGUAGGCUGGUUUUCCAGGCAAAUCCGGAAAAUCAAGGCUGAGGCGUGAUGACGAGGCACUACGGUGCUGAAGCAACAAAUGCCCUGCUUCCAGGAAAAGCCUCUAAGCAUCAGGUAACAUCAAAUCGUACCCCAAACCGACACAGGUGGUCAGGUAGAGAAUACCAAGGCGCUUGAGAGAACUCGGGUGAAGGAACUAGGCAAAAUGGUGCCGUAACUUCGGGAGAAGGCACGCUGAUACGUAGGUGAAGUCCCUUGCGGAUGGAGCUGAAAUCAGUCGAAGAUACCAGCUGGCUGCAACUGUUUAUUAAAAACACAGCACUGUGCAAACACGAAAGUGGACGUAUACGGUGUGACGCCUGCCCGGUGCCGGAAGGUUAAUUGAUGGGGUUAGCGGUAACGCGAAGCUCUUGAUCGAAGCCCCGGUAAACGGCGGCCGUAACUAUAACGGUCCUAAGGUAGCGAAAUUCCUUGUCGGGUAAGUUCCGACCUGCACGAAUGGCGUAAUGAUGGCCAGGCUGUCUCCACCCGAGACUCAGUGAAAUUGAACUCGCUGUGAAGAUGCAGUGUACCCGCGGCAAGACGGAAAGACCCCGUGAACCUUUACUAUAGCUUGACACUGAACAUUGAGCCUUGAUGUGUAGGAUAGGUGGGAGGCUUUGAAGUGUGGACGCCAGUCUGCAUGGAGCCGACCUUGAAAUACCACCCUUUAAUGUUUGAUGUUCUAACGUUGGCCCCUGAUCGGGGUUGCGGACAGUGUCUGGUGGGUAGUUUGACUGGGGCGGUCUCCUCCUAAAGAGUAACGGAGGAGCACGAAGGUUGGCUAAUCCUGGUCGGACAUCAGGAGGUUAGUGCAAUGGCAUAAGCCAGCUUGACUGCGAGCGUGACGGCGCGAGCAGGUGCGAAAGCAGGUCAUAGUGAUCCGGUGGUUCUGAAUGGAAGGGCCAUCGCUCAACGGAUAAAAGGUACUCCGGGGAUAACAGGCUGAUACCGCCCAAGAGUUCAUAUCGACGGCGGUGUUUGGCACCUCGAUGUCGGCUCAUCACAUCCUGGGGCUGAAGUAGGUCCCAAGGGUAUGGCUGUUCGCCAUUUAAAGUGGUACGCGAGCUGGGUUUAGAACGUCGUGAGACAGUUCGGUCCCUAUCUGCCGUGGGCGCUGGAGAACUGAGGGGGGCUGCUCCUAGUACGAGAGGACCGGAGUGGACGCAUCACUGGUGUUCGGGUUGUCAUGCCAAUGGCACUGCCCGGUAGCUAAAUGCGGAAGAGAUAAGUGCUGAAAGCAUCUAAGCACGAAACUUGCCCCGAGAUGAGUUCUCCCUGACUCCUUGAGAGUCCUGAAGGAACGUUGAAGACGACGACGUUGAUAGGCCGGGUGUGUAAGCGCAGCGAUGCGUUGAGCUAACCGGUACUAAUGAACCGUGAGGCUUAACCUU
rnacentral:rRNA from 1 species